GCUGAGGAUAGGAGGCCUUCAGGAUGUUUUUCAGACGGACCCCACCUGUACUUGUGACUCAUGACUCAACUGCUCCUGUGGCCCUAUCCAGAGGUGGACUCAGUGCAUGAGGACAGUGUUCCUUACACCUAUGAUUUCAUCCACAACAAGUCAGCAGCACCCAUUCCCUAGCCCCCACUGCCCACCAAAUUGUCCAUAAAAACCAC
rnacentral:lncRNA from 1 species